AUACGUAGGGUACUAGCGUUGUCCGGAUUUAUUGGGCGUAAAGGGCUUGUAGGUGGUUUGUCGCGUCUGUCGUGAAAUCCUGUGGCUUAACCAUGGGCUUGCGGUGGGUACGGGCAGGCUUGAGUGCGGUAGGGGAGACUGGAAUUCCUGGUGUAGCGGUGGAAUGCGCAGAUAUCAGGAGGAACACCGGUGGCGAAGGCGGGUCUCUGGGCCGUUACUGACGCUGAGGAGCGAAAGCGUGGGGAGCGAACAGGAUUAGAUACCCUGGUAGUCCAUGCUGUAAACGUUGGGCACUAGGUGUGGGGAUCGUUGUGGUUUCUGCGCCGUAGCUAACGCAUUAAGUGUCCCGCCUGGGGAGUACGGCCGCAAGGCUAAA
rnacentral:rRNA from 1 species